GGGCCGCUAGCUCAGUCGGUAGAGCAACGCCCUUUUAAGGCGUGGGUCGUGGGUUCGAUUCCCGCGCGGCUCA
rnacentral:tRNA from 1 species